rnacentral:misc_RNA from 1 species
UACGGGAGGUGCAAGCGUUACUCGGAAUUACUGGGCGUAAAGCAUCCGCAGGUUCUUUGCCACGUCCGGGGUAAAAGCACGGAGCUCAACUCCGUGUAUGUCCUAGAUACGAGCAAGGUAGAGUCACUCAGAGGUAUCUGGAAUGCCGUGUGUAGGGGUAAAAUCCGUUGAUCCACGGUAGAACGCCGAAAGCGAAAGCAGGAUACUGGGAGUGCACUGACACUCAGGGACGAAAGCGUGGGGAGCGAACGGG